UACGUAGGGUGCAAGCGUUGUUCGGAAUUAUUGGGCGUAAAGGGUGCGUAGGCGGUUUGGUAAGUCUGAUGUGAAAUCUAUGGGCUCAACUCAUAGUCUGCAUCGGAAACUGCCGGGCUUGAGUGUGGGAGAGGUGAGUGGAAUUCCUGGUGUAGCGGUGAAAUGCGUAGAUAUCAGGAGGAACACCUGUGGCGAAAGCGGCUCACUGGACCAUAACUGACGCUGAUGCACGAAAGCUAGGGGAGCAAACAGG
rnacentral:rRNA from 1 species